GACGAACGCUGGCGGCGUGUUUAACACAUGCAAGUCGAACGGUAAGGCCCUUCGGGGUACAUGAGUGGCGAACGGGUGAGUAACACGUGGGUGAUCUGCCCUGCACUUCGGGAUAAGCCUGGGAAACUGGGUCUAAUACCGGAUAGGACCACUGCCUGCAUGGGUGGUGGUGGAAAGCUUUUGCGGUGUGGGAUGGGCCCGCGGCCUAUCAGCUUGUUGGUGGGGUGAUGGCCUACCAAGGCGACGACGGGUAGCCGGCCUGAGAGGGUGACCGGCCACACUGGGACUGAGAUACGGCCCAGACUCCUACGGGAGGCAGCAGUGGGGAAUAUUGCACAAUGGGCGCAAGCCUGAUGCAGCGACGCCGCGUGAGGGAUGACGGCCUUCGGGUUGUAAACCUCUUUCAGCACCGACGAAGCGCAAGUGACGGUAGGUGCAGAAGAAGGACCGGCCAACUACGUGCCAGCCGCCGCGGUAA
rnacentral:rRNA from 1 species